UGAACAGAAACUUCUCAUGGAAGAUUUUCCAGCAUACAAAACUGAUAUAAUAUUAUUUGGCUCAAAAUCACUUUUCAUCAGACUUCCACACUUUUUUGUUCUGUUUUGUUUUCCAGGAUUGGGCUUUUCCUUGCUCUUUUCUUACAGUGGUAUCUUUUGGAGGCCAGUUUCCUUCCUGCUAUAGGACUACACGGCUGCCCUCUGGAACAUCAGAUCUCACAAAUGCCAUUUUAAUCUCCACAGGAGAAUGACACCAGCCUUCAUGGAGUUUACAUUCUUUGGAAAUAUCAAGAGUGAUGCUGGACAAGACUACGGAGGAAACUGAGACUAGGGAUGAGGUUCGUACCUACCCCAUAUGAGGUUGGAAGUGAACGAGGCCCUACGAGAAUCACUACAGGAGCCAGGUGUAUUUUCCUUUGUCUCCUCAGCCUUGAGAGACGAGCGGGACGAUGCCGCACACCGGCCCCGGCGGCUGCACCAUCCCGGGGCAGGGCUGCUCCGGCCCAAGCGGCACGGAGCUGCUCCCAAAACUCUCCGGAAUCCCUCCCCACCGUCCGGGGUCCCUUCCUUUGCAGAGGGAGGGCACACGAGUGGCAGGCGGCAGCUGCCCUGCUCGAGCGGGACCGACGGACCGGCGCGGCAGCGGGAGCCAGAACCAAGCCAGGGGCUUUGCAGAUAUUCCCUUCCAAAGCGCAGAGAAAAGGGAUUACACUGAAUUAUCAAGUACCCCGCAAUAUUCUGCUUCGAUUCACGCUUCAAAUAAAUUACUUUUCUAAUAAUCCAUUAACUGCUUUAACGACCAGUGUUACUUAUUCACCAGUGCUCCGUGAAAGUUACUUAUUUGAAAAUUCUUUGCGAUUUCCAGUUGCUCUCCACAUAACAUGCACUAUUCGAAGAAAGCAAGAGGGCUUUCAAACAGGAAAACACAGAGUUAGUCCCUCAUUUCUCAAGACCAGCACGGCACUGGGGCUCCUAGUUUUAUUUUUAAUACAAAGAAAAUUAUUUUCCCCCUUGCUAAGCGCUCACUGUUCCCGUGGAUCUCCCUGGAAGGUGCUGGGUGCUGAAGCCUUAGGAGAAAACGGGCCACCUUCCGAGAAAGGCCUAACUACGGACUUAAACAGCCUCACUUGAACAGCCCACAUUAACAAGCAAUAAACCCUACGACUUCGUUUCAAUCCCAAAUUCACUGUACCACGCUCAAAGGAUGACGUAAACAAUGUGAGCACUACAGAAAGUGUGCGAAAGUUACAGCCGAAAAGGGAAUUAAAAAAAAAAAAAAAAAAAAAAAAAAAAAAAAAGGGCUCUCAUAACGGAAAAAUGCUUUUAGGAGAUGUGACAGCCGCGCUCUGGAGCAGGACCUGCAGACUCGUGCGUUCCCUGAGGAAGCACAGCCAGCGCGCUCCGACCGCCGUCCCACGGACACCGCAGCGUUACACGGGGUGUAAAUCCCGCUGCCCCGGCACCCACCUGCGGGGGAUGCCCAGCACAAGGACCGCCAGCUGAGAACCAAAACCGCCGGGGGGGAGAGCCCAGGGCGCCCCCGACUCCCACCAGUUAUUUUUAUCCGCGUCCGGCCUUUCCAACUCAUCAGAUAUUCGCUGCGAGGCGGAGCAAUAGAAGAGCACCCUCAGAACUCAGCCGGGCUCGCAGGGACACACAGAGCCCAGCACCGGGAGUGAGCAGCCCGCGGCACCAACAGGGACGCAGGCAGGGCUGCGGCAUCGGGCCCGCACACUGCCCUCCCUGAUCGUAAAAUUAGCAACAGAAAGAGUUAAUUACCCAAACCCCAAAUAUUGUGGAGAUCUCAGUAAAGCAAAGAAAGAAAAUUAAAAACCAACAAAAAUACACCCCCAAAUACCAGCCUAGGACAGGCGGGCAGCAGCGCAGCGCUGCUGGCUCACGGAGACUGAGCUCGGAUUACCCUCCGCGACGCUUCCAGCACGGAGGGAAGGAACCUUCUUUUUAUCGUUGUUGUUGAUUUGGUUUUGGUUUUUUUAAAAGUUUAGUUAGUUAGUUAGUUAGUUUCCCCCCCUGCAAUGUCUCUUCUCUUUUCUGCACGAAUCAGCAACCCCGUCCCCGUGCACUAGGCCCUGCAGAAUCUUCCAAAACAGUUUAAUAAGGGGUAAACCCGGGAUUGAGAUAUUCUGAUUGACAUUUAGUUUUUAUACAUAUAAAAUCUAUAAAGUACAGAUUAUAUAUUUAUACGCACAUAUUAAAAUAUAUAUCUAACCUCCCCCCAGCCUUUUUCAAUAUAUCGGGAAAAAAUCAGACUCGAGGUAAUGCAAAGUCAGUAAAAUGAGCAGCUUUUCUCUGGCUCUGUCUGACAGGCUUUGUCUUUAUGUCUGCGUCAGACAGUGCUCAGUCUAAACCAACGGGAUUAACCAGGACGAUCCCCGGGUGAUCCUGAGCAGCGUGACAAACCGCAGUGAUAAAAUAUGACGGUGCCACUCUCUGCAAACACCUCGGGAUUGUUUUACAGUGGUACAUCCCCGGCUAUCCCUCUGCUCGUGACUGCCGGCCGCGGGGCUGGCUGCAGGAAUUAAAAUCCACCAUCGCACCCGGGGAAAGUUUUAAAUCCCAGGAUUCGCUUUCCUCUUCACGAACAGUAAAAAAAUUCAGGUGUGGCGAUNGGCAAAGCAAUUUUUUGAAGUUAUUUUUAAAUAAAAAAUGUAGUGUUCAGGAGUAGCGAUAAACUCAUGUAAAAAUCGUGACACGGGUGCAAUGCAAGUAUUUUUAAACAAUCGGUAUGGGUUUCUCAAAAGGAUUAGUAUGAUUUCAGCAACCUUGUCUUCGAAAUACACUUCGGGGGCCCGGAAUGUUACGUGCUGGGUUACUCGAAAGGGAAAAGACGCACCGGGACGCUGUGGAUGUUAGCAUUUUGGUGAAUUUUUGUUAGACCCAAAGAGAGGAGCCCCGGGGAGGGGGGAGAGCAGGCGGUCCCUGCACACAGCGCCACACAGCCAGCCUCGCCAUUUUACACAGCCACCGCUCCUGCGCAUUAAACGGGACAACGGAGGACGGGGUGGGAUUAGCUCCAGGAGUGGCACAAGCGUUCAUCCGGGGGCUGCGGAGGAGCCGAGGAGCCCCCAGAGGGGCAUGCGAGCACACAGAGCCCUGCGCCCACCGCGCCCCUUCAGCGCUGCUUCCGGAGAGCGCCAAGAUUUAAAAAAAAAAACCUUGGUGACAACGAGGGAGGAGAGCCGCGACCUCUUCCAGUUUGUGUUUCCAGGCACGGCCCUCCAGCCUAACACGCCAGUGUCCCCUGGUGGAGGGGGUACCGAAAUGAAGAUGUCUGUGGGCCGCGGGGUCCUGCCCCCCACGGCGGAGAGGGCUCUGCGCUUCCCCAACCGGGAUCCCACUGUCCGACACCCGUCCCGCGGCCUCCCGGCCGUGCAAGCCUGCUCGGCCCGCAGGGGAGGGCGGGCUGAAGGCGGCGGGGGCGGUGGCUGAGGACGGCUGCCUGCGGGGAGAGCCCAGAGAAAAUGGAGGCAGGCGGGUUGGCUGCAUGGCGGCAGCGGGGCGGCCGAGGAGCGGUCUGAGCUUCCUGCUAAGGUGGGAGCGAGUGAGCUUCCCCCCGCCCGUCUGGGCUUAACCGGGACUCGGCAGCCACACACCGCCCGAGCCGCUCCGGGCUCCGGACACGGCGUGGCCCCGCACGGCACGGCCCUUAAAGGCGGCCGCGGGGCCGUUCCAGAACGUUCCCCGCGCGCGGGCUCUGCCAGCCUGGCAUGGCGGGCGGUGGGCGCCCCCUGCUGUCCUCAUGCAGCGGUCACGGCCCUCCGGGGCGCCGGGACAGUUAAACACGUAAAAUUUAGUAAUUCUGUGGGGAAAGCGUCGUCUUUCAACUCUGGCUUGGCAUCCUGCAGUGUAUACGCCGGCCCCCCAGCACCUGCUGAGUGUAUAAUUUAUGUCAGGAUUUUGUAAAAUUUUUAAUUUAGCAGUGUAAAUCAAAAGUGCCGAGUUGCCAUGUAAAAUGAAUGUUGAGUUAAACUCAGUUGACCAGUGCAAUACAGCUUCUAUCACUUUUUUUUUUUCCUUUAAAAAAUACGUGCCUGUUUUAUCACCCCUUUAUGGUGGUUUAUGGUUCCUUUAAGUGUAAAUCAAAAGUGCCGAGUUGCCAUGUAAAAUGAAUGUUGAGUUAAACUCAGUUGACCAGUGCAAUACAGCUUCUAUCACUUUUUUUUUUUUCCUUUAAAAAUACGUGCCUGUUUUAUCACCCCUUUAUGGUGGUUUAUGGUUCCUUUAAAUGUUGAAUAUCAGAUCGCAAAUACCAAAAAUGUAAAUCCGGUUUGUCUAAUCUGGAGUUUAAAAUAUUCUUGUGAUGUCACAAAGUGAUGGCUUAUAAAAUAUUUUCAUUUAAUUAGGAAGCGCUAAGAGGAUUUCUGCAAGAAAAAAAAUAAAGGCGAGGAAGCUCAGUUUGAAUUAUUUAUGUGCUGUGAGCUAUCAUGAUUGCUGCUGCAGCUUUUCAAGUACAAAAAUGCAGGAUUUGCUCGCUUUUCAUUUUUAGAACCUAAUUCUUUAAUUAUUCAGGCAUGCAAAUUACUGUGAAGAGGGAUUAAUUAUGCAGGUAAUCAAGGUUUUAUUCUAAGUUUACUUUUAAAAAGCAAAGAUUGGCUGAUACUAUGAACAGUGUUGCUGGGCUUGUGCACUGAAAUACUCCUUUAAGGUAUGAUAACAAUCUGGGAUUUCAUGGAAGUAAAAGGAGUAGGGAUGAAUUUGUGCCUUGCAUAAGCCAAGGAACACAAUGCAUGACAUAAAUCUUGCUGUCCUGCGAGAGAGAAGGAUCUCCUUCCUCAGGACCGAGCACUCAUCAUCCUGUUUCUUCUUACAGAAUCAUAGAAUAUUCCACGUUGAAAAGGACCCACAGGGAUCAUCAAGUCCAACCCCUGACCCUGCACAGAACACCCCAACAAUCCCAUGCUGUGCCUGAGAGUGUUGUCCAAACACUCCUGGAGCUGUGGUAGCCAUGGCCAUUCCCUGGUUCAGUGCCCGACCACCCUCUGAGGGAAGAACCUUUCCCUGAUAUCCAGCCUGACCCUCCCCUGACCCAGCUCCAGCCGUUCCCUCGGGUCCUGUCCCUGGUCACACAGAGCAGAAAUUGGAGCUGUCCUUCCAUUGCCCCUUGGGAGGAAGCUGCAGACCCUGGUGAGGUCUGACCUCAGUCUCCUCCAGCUAAAAAAACAAGGACUCUUCCCCUCAGUGGUGUGUACAAAAAGACAUUCUGCAGAGUGUGCCAUGAAGUGGGGUGGUCAGAGGAAGUUUCAGAUUGGAAAGAAGUGCAAAUAAGAUGAAAGGGGAAGACCCUUAAUUCCACCAUUUUGUCAAGCUCACUGGCCUCAGGGGUGGCAUCUGGUGCCCUCAGGGAUCUGUCUCCUCCAGAAAGAUGCUGCAUCCAUUACACAGCAUCAUGGCACUUUACUUCACCUGUGCUCAGGCUCUAUCUUGGCAUUGGCUGUCUUGGUUUCACUGCCAAAGCACACAAAUCUAUCAGUGGCAGACCUUAAGAUGGAGAAGCUCAACUUCUAUGCACAAACACUGCUCUGCAUCAUUUAAGAAGUGAUGCUGUCAAAAGUACCACAAAAGUGCACCAUCAGUGAGCACUGGUUGCAUUUCUAAAUGUUUUUGCAGCUGUAAUCACGCUUAGAUGCUUCAAUUAGCAUCUUAUUUAAAGCUGAUGGAUAUCUAGAUAUACAAGUGACAUUGUAUCUUCAGUAUGACUGAUUUCAGUGGGAUUAUAAUUUGUUAUGAAAGACCUUCUCCCAGCCCUUCAGACUCAUAUAUUUUAUUGUGAAGCUGAGCAUAAGUCCCUGAAGAUAGGGAGGCUUAGGGCAGGGAGCGG
rnacentral:lncRNA from 13 species